AGAACGGGCAGCCUCUAAUGGCGCCUGCUGGUGAGGUGGGGUGCCUGUGGCCAUACAGGAAAGGGGAGCAGCUCCCACCUCGAGGCUCUGUCUGCCUCAGAUAUCCCACCGAUGGCCAAGUGCCAGUUAGUCACGGCCUCAGUGCAGCACCUCAUCCCUCCCAGAAAGCCAUGGCUCUGGACUCCACCCACUGAAAACAGGGCUUUUGUGGGAAUACAAUGGGACAAGAAGAAAAACAUGCUGAACCUGAUCUCCAUGGGACCUGAUGUGGAGUCACGUUCAUUCACAUCACUGGCUUGCAGCCUCUCCACUCACAAGUUAUUGAUAAUCGAAAAAAUAAAACACCAUGCGAUCGUA
rnacentral:lncRNA from 1 species